AGGAAAAAAAAUUUUCGUCCCACUUUUGGUCAGGGGCCCGCGUCCGUGCGAAUGCGUUGAGCGUUGAGACAAACAUUGUCAAGGGCAUGGAAUCACCCGAGGCUCUUGCUCUUGGACUCCCGAGAGGAAUUAAAAAAAUAAUAAACACCCCGAGAACCUACGGACCCGAAGCCUGAAAGAGGUAAAAAAAAAAAAAAAGAGAAGAAAAUUUAUGCUAGUCGUCGUCGUUCCUCCCCAUCCAAACCCUAAAAAAGUACAACUUUCUUUCUUUGCCUGCUCCUGAACUCUCUCGAACUUUCUCUGAUCUACGGACUCUACCCUUCCGCUCUCUUUACUUCAUCUCCAAUUCCCUUCAAUUCCAACCUUUUUCGCGUUCUUCAUUUCACUGGUUUUUUUGCUGGUAGUGAAGCGUGAGGACUGAGUUGAAUAGAAGAAGAGCUUGAACUUUUGUGCGUUGCUUUCUCGUGAUCUGAAAAAGUACCACAGCGAACUUGCGAUUCUAUGUUUGAGUUUAUGAUGUUACAUGUUUCAUGAAUCAUUAACUCAUGGAUUCUGAAGGCAAGAAAUUUGGAAGAGGACCAAGGGAACUUAGUGGUGCUGUUGAUCUUAUAAGUCACUAUAAGUUGUUGCCUCACCAUGAUUUCUUCUGCAAGAGACCUCUUCCUUUGUCCAUCGUAGACACACAUUAUCUUCAUAAUGUAGUAGGAGACACUGAAAUUAGAAAAGGAGAAGGGAUGCAGUUGGACCAGCUUAUUCAGAAUACAUCCCAUAACAGAGACACUAAUGCCCGAAUACAGCCUUUUGACCUUGAUAUUCUUAAGGAGGCUUUCCAGCUGAGAGAAACAACUCCUAUUGAAUUGCCAGCAAGUGAAAAAGGGAUCCCUACUAUUGCUGGGAAAUCAAAGAGUGAGGCCAAAGAUAAAGAGAGGAAGCAUAAAAAGCACAAAGACAGAGAUAAGGAGAAGGAUAAAGAGCAUAAGAAGCACAAGCAUCGUCAUAAAGAUAAAGAUAGAAGUAAAGAUAAAGACAAGGAAAAAAAGAAGGAUAGAAGUGGGCAUCAUGAUUCUGGUGCUGAUCACUCAAAAAAGCACCAUGAAAAGAAAAGGAAGCAUGAUGGAGACGAAGAUCUUAAUGAUGUUCACAGACACAAAAAAAGUAAGCAUAAAAGCUCAAAAAUUGACGAAGUUGGUGCAAUUAAAGUAGCAGGCUAAAAUGGUGGCAUUCUAUAGUUCAUUUAUUGUCUCAGAUGUUUUUCAGAGUGUGGAAGGGUUUGCUUAAUGUUCCCUUCAUUGCUUUAGAUUAGCUUGUAAACUGACUAAAGAAUGUGUGGAGGGUGAAUUCACCCAUUGAUGGAUGUUUCAUGCGAGGUAUAAGUUGCUGAAAAUGGACUUUUUGUAUCAUAACAUUGGGCUAAUAUAAUUGUUGGUAGGUGCAAAACUUUGAUCUUUCUUUUUAUAGUUUUUGUAUUACACUGAAUGACUCUGCAUGUACACAUCGUUAGUCUUGUGUCAUUUUAGAAGUUUAAAAGCCUAGUUGUAAAAUCAGUUUGAAUUAGGUUUUGCAUCUUUUGAUUGUAGAAAGAAUAAUUACAUGGGGGCCCUUGGAUUAUCUGCUUCCCUUUUUGUCAUAACAAUUUCUGAUAUCAGCUACGUUCUUAAAAAGUUGUAAACAGGCACGUCUUAUGACAUGAACAUGAAUUAGGUCAUUUUUUUGUCUGCAAUUGUGUCAGCAAUUU